UACGUAGGUGGCAAGCGUUGUCCGGAAUUAUUGGGCGUAAAGCGCGCGCAGGCGGUCCUUUAAGUCUGAUGUGAAAGCCCACGGCUCAACCGUGGAGGGUCAUUGGAAACUGGGGGACUUGAGUACAGAAGAGAAGAGUGGAAUUCCACGUGUAGCGGUGAAAUGCGCAGAUAUCAGGAGGAACACCAAUUGCGAAGGCAGCUCGCUGGGACGUAACUGACGCUGAGACGCGAAAGCGUGGGGAGCAAACAGG
rnacentral:rRNA from 1 species